CAGACUAAGCAGUUAAUUUCUAAAUUUGUGCCCAACCUUGAGACCUCUCCUUUCUUCAAAUCUGUCCGUGCCUUCCUCUCUGAACUAAUUGUACGAAGUUUUAUAUUACGGCCAAAUAUAAACAAAGAUCCACAUUUGGAACACCCGUGCAAAAGUGUCUUUGGAUCUGUUUCCAAAUUCCAUUCCUCCAAAAGAGAGAACAUCCUCCUCAAGUAGUGGCUUGACAAUGAUGGACUAAUCGCGUAUGUCUCUGCCGCUAUUGAUAACAAAAAUUGCAGUUUACGUUCUUGAUCCAUCUUUGGAAGUCUUGUUAGCCCAGGAAACUAAAAUAUUUGGUCAAGUGUAGAUGAAAGUGUUACAGACGCCAAUUCUCUCUGAAAUUAAAGAAUGAUUCCAAAAAAAAAACACCA